AAAAAAAAAAAAACGAAAAAAACCAGAAAGAGUUACAUGAUACAUAUCACAGGCCCGGGUAUUGAAAAUUCUUCAAAUAGUCUCUUUCUGUUUUUUUUUUUUUUUUUU
rnacentral:ribozyme from 1 species